GCAACCUGUGCCAGUGCCCUCAUCACAAAGAAUCUGUUCCCUAUAUCUAAUCUAAAUCUACCUUCUUUUAGAUUAAAACCAUUACUCCUUGUCCUAUCACCACACUUUAUCAUAAAGGCCCCCUCAUCUUUCUUGUAAGCUGCCUUUAAUUACCAGAAGGCUUUUAUAAGUUAUUCACAGAAAGUGGAAAGAUUUCUCCACUUUCUACUUACAAACACUUGUGAUAUAAAUGAAUAUGUGGAUUUCACAGAGGGAGGGACUCUGGUUACUGGAGCCGGGUGGCAGCGCUUUCCUGCGCUCCACUGCAGAACACGAGCUGCUUUUCCACAGCACUGCAAGAGGCUCUUCGCUGGGGCAGUGGAGAAAGGAAACAGCAGCCAGGAAACAUACCCAGAGGCACUUGUUUCAAUACUGAAUGUGCUGCACAGAAGAAGUGAGGCCUAUCUCAAUGACAAGGAAUUUCCAGUCCGUGGAGGAGACACCGAGAAAUCAGAAAGCAUAUGUGCUGUGAAGGGUAUACGGAUGGGCAUGACCCAUGAUCAUAUGCUUACUUCUCUGAAAAUUAAGCUCAUUUCCUGUACAUAUUGUGAAAAAGAAAAAAAAAAAAGUGUGGUUUUAAGGAGGAAGUUUACAGUAGAAAAGGUAACGGUUUGGUGAUCUGGGAUUAGGAUAGAGCUGUGCAAACCACGUUAAUCAAGAAUCAGUAAAAUAUCCUUAUUACAGACCUUCAGUGGAGCGCAUAGAAAGUUCUGAACAGCACCGACCGAUAAAAUGGAGCUGCUCUGCUUCAAGCAAUGAGAAAUGCAAGGCUCUCCACAUGGUAUCUAAACUACAAACAAAAUCUAAUUCACUCCACUACACUAACGCAGGAUUUAAGAUUUAAGGAUUUAAGGAGGAAAAUUACUUCCUGGCUUCAGUGAGGGUUCGUUUUAUGUGUUCCAACACCGACAGCAGUGAAAAUACUUUUUCCUCAUGUAACUUUACUCUCGUGGUCCUUUCUUUUUCUUUACUUGCAUGUUAUGUGAACUUCCCAAAAUGAACUAUUGUUUCUUCUUUCUUUCACUCAAAUUAGUGCAAGAAAGGAGUGUUAAAUAGGGUUAAAAUACCAAAGCGAUGACCUCACACAAUGCUUGUGUUUGUUUUUUUGGUUGAAACUGUAAGAUUUUGAGGCUGUAUCUCCUGAACUUUGGAAGCAGUCAUUGAUCGUGUAGGAAGCAUGCCCAAUUCUGAAAACUUUUGGAUUUUAAUUGCAUUUUUAAGGACAAUUAUCAUCUUCUUCUGCUGGAAUAAAUGAAAAUAUCCAUAGAUUCUGAAUUCUGUCCAAAGCAGUGAAGCCAUAUGUUAAGAAGCCAAAGUUGUAAGCUGAAAAACUGUAGAAAUAUUCCAGAUUCUCUAUGAUUAAGCCAUUUCAUACAUUCAAGUUAUAAAUAACUAUUUUUCCAAUGCUUCAAAA